CUCACAAAUGCUAUUGUAAGAACUACCGGAGGACUUCCCAUAGCUCUUCAAGUUAUAGGUUCAUUUUUAUUCUCAAAAGAAAUGUCAGUAUGGGAAGGCAUUUUAAAGAAGUUGCAAAGUGUUCCCAAUAGUGAUAUGAUGAAGAGGUUGAAAAUCAGUUAUGAUGGAUUGGAAGAUGCAGAGAAACAAAUGUUUCUUGAUACUGUUUGUUUUUUCAUUGGAAUGGAUAAGGCUACUGCUUGUCAUAUAUGGGGAGGGUGUGAUUUUUAUCCAAAAGUAUGACUUAAUGUUCUUUGUGUAAAGUCUUAGUAACAAUUAGUGAAGAUGGUAAGUUAAGGAUGCAUGAUAUGCUUCGGGAUCUUGGAAGGGAAAUUGUUCGUCAAAAGAAUAUAAAAAAGCCAGGGAAGCGUAGUCGAAUAUGGCUUCAAGACGAAGUCUUGGGUGUACUGAUUAAACAAAUGGGAACAAGUAUUUGUGAAGGACUCACUAUUGACUUCAGCCAACUUAAUCUAGACUUGAGCAAUAGAUCAAGGAGUUAAGGUUUGAUGAGCAAAGGAUUUGCUGCAAUGACAGAACUAAGGUUACUCCAAGUCGAUUUUGCACAAUCUUCUGGGAACUUCACCAAUUCAUUUUCAGAACUGAGAUGGCUUAGUUGGAGAGGAUGCCCGGACCAAUAUGCACUAACCAACUUUUGUUUAAAUUUUUUUUGUAUCAAAAGUCUUAAAAUAAUUCAAAUUUCCUUUUAGUCCUUUUUAAGCCAAAUAGAUAAAUUAGUCUAUAUAAUCUAUUUUGCAGAUGGCAGCAAAACUAAAAGUUCUGGAUCUCACUUCCUGUCAUCAACUAUCUAGUACUCUUGAUGUUACAGCAAAUUAACUCUUGGAGAUAUGAGGGGUUGCAGGAGACUAGUGGAACUCCCAGGUCUUCCCUCAACUUUGACAACCCUUGAUGUUCGUAACUGCUCUUCAAUGCAAGACAUCUCUGGUCUUCAUACUUCAAGUGUAACCAGCCUUGAUGUUUGUGUCUGCUCUUCAAUUCGAGACAUCUCAGGCCUUCCCUCAAGUUUGACCAGCUGUAAUGUUAGUCAUUGUUCUUCAAUUCAAGACAUCUCAGGUCUUGCCACAAGUUUGACCAGCCUUAAUGUUAGUCACUGCUCUUCAAUUAGAGAUAUCUCAGGUUUUCCCUCAAGUUUAGCCAAACUUAAUGUUAGUCAUUGCUCUUCCAUUCAAGACAUCUCAGGUCUUGCCUCAAGUUUGACCAGCCUUAAUUUUAGCCAUUGUUCUUCAAUUCGAGACAUCUCAUGUCUUCCCUCUUCAAUUUUGACCAACCUUAAUGCAAGUCACUGCUCUUCAAUUGAAUGCAUCUCAGGUCUUCCCUCAACUUUGAUCUUUCUAGAUGCUAGCUAUUGCAGAUCAAUGAUAAAACUAUCAAGUACAUCAUCUGGAGGCUUGAGAAAUUUAAAGAAAUUACGUCUUGAGAAGUGCAUUAGCCUAGAAGAGAUUAAAGGUGCUGAUGAGAAAUUGGACUCUCUAGAGCUCUUGUCCACCAUUUGGUGCAGAUCAUUAAGAAAACUACCAAACUCAGGGGCUCAAACAAUCUAAGGACUUUAAAGCUCUAUCGGAACGAUCCCAUAUCCAAUUUUGCAGGGGAGGGGAUGGAUGCUCUGGUGGAGUUGAAGAUAGAGUAUUUCCAAUCAUGAAGAAAAAUACCAUAUCUACGAGAUUCGAAAAGGCUGAGGAUACCAUAAAUCAAAGAUUUUCCGGAAUUGUCUGAGAUUGAGGGCCUGGAGGACUUUGAAUACUUAGAAACAUUAUCAAUUAGAGAGGCCAAAUCAUUUAAGACAUUGCCAGAUAUCUCAACCCUGAAGAACCUACUCUAUUUAAGAAUCAGAUGGUGCAACUCAAUGAAAAGAUUACCUGAUCUUUCAAACUUAAAAAAGUUCUGGCAAUUAGAGAUUGUGGAUUGCAUGAAGUUAACCGAAAUUCCAGGCCUUGACAGAUUGGAGUCCUUGAGAGAAUUGAAAAUAGGAGGAUGCAUAUCCAUCUAAAGAUUACCAGAUCUGUCAAACUUAAACAAGUUGAAUGUUCUUUAUAUUAAACGCUGGAAGAAACUAACUGAGAUUCAUGGGGUUGAUGGAUUGGAAUUCUUACAGAAGUUGGAUAUUAGUGGGUGUGAGUCCUUGAAAAGAUUACCAGAUCUUUCAAA